CCACAACUGUAAACAUACAUAUACGCAGGAUGCUCAGGUCUAUCACAUCAGCCGUGUCAAAGCAGUUACCCCGUUAGCAUUUAUGCCUUCAGGACGCCCGCCAUUUCUCUGGACUCUCCUCGAGUUGAUCCUCCACCGCCUGCAGUCCAUCUGCGGAAAUUUUCCUGUGACUCCUUGAGAUCGACCUGCAAGGAUUCGGGUUUUUUUUUUUUUUUUUUUUUUUUUUUUUUUUGGCGUGAGAUUUAUCGCUGUAAACGAGAAGUUUGUUCAUCUCUUCCAACUCGGAAAUUCUGUCCUGCAAUUCCCCCUGAGAGUCCCGACACCUGCAAAGCUGCAUUAGCUUCCCAUCAGGCAAUUUGAUUGCUGGAAAUUUUUGAAAUGAUUUACCUUGAUGGAU
rnacentral:sRNA from 1 species